rnacentral:rRNA from 1 species
AGUGAACGCUGGCGGUAGGCCUAACACAUGCAAGUCGAACGGCAGCACAGUGAGAGCUUGCUCUUACGGGUGGCGAGUGGCGGACGGGUGAGGAAUACAUCGGAAUCUACUUUUUCGUGGGGGAUAACGUAGGGAAACUUACGCUAAUACCGCAUACGACCUACGGGUGAAAGCAGGGGAUCUUCGGACCUUGCGCGAUUGAAUGAGCCGAUGUCGGAUUAGCUAGUUGGCGGGGUAAAGGCCCACCAAGGCGACGAUCCGUAGCUGGUCUGAGAGGAUGAUCAGCCACACUGGAACUGAGACACGGUCCAGACUCCUACGGGAGGCAGCAGUGGGGAAUAUUGGACAAUGGGCGCAAGCCUGAUCCAGCCAUACCGCGUGGGUGAAGAAGGCCUUCGGGUUGUAAAGCCCCUUUGUUGGGAAAGAAAAGCAGCAGGUUAAUACCCCGCUGUUCUGACGGUACCCAAAGAAUAAGCACCGGCUAACUUCGUG